AAUAGAUACCCGGGUAGUCCACGCCGUAAACGAUGAGUGCUAAGUGUUGGGGGGUUUCCGCCCCUCAGUGCUGCAGCUAACGCAUUAAGCACUCCGCCUGGGGAGUACGGUUGCAAGACUGAAACUCAAAGGAAUUGACGGGGGCCCGCACAAGCGGUGGAGUAUGUGGUUUAAUUCGAAGCAACGCGAAGAACCUUACCAGGUCUUGACAUCCCGGUGACCACUAUGGAGACAUAGUUUCCCCUUCGGGGGCAACGGUGACAGGUGGUGCAUGGUUGUCGUCAGCUCGUGUCGUGAGAUGUUGGGUUAAGUCCCGCAACGAGCGCAACCCUUAUUCUUAGUUGCCAUCAUUCAGUUGGGCACUUUAAGGAGACUGCCGGUGAUAAACCGGAGGAAGGUGGGGAUGACGUCAAAUCAUCAUGCCCCUUAUGACCUGGGCUACACACGUGCUACAAUGGACGGUACAAACGGUUGCCAACCCGCGAGGGGGAGCUAAUCCGAUAAAACCGUUCUCAGUUCGGAUUGUAGGCUGCAACUCGCCUACAUGAAGCCGG
rnacentral:rRNA from 1 species